AGAUUAAAUUUUAACAAAUUUAAAUUUAUAAAUUUUGGAUAUAAAAUUUGAAUUAACAAUUAAAAUAUUUAAUUACAGUAAAUCAAAAUUAUAUUUUAAAUUUUAAAGUAAAUGUGAAUUAAAUUUUGACACUUUUAUUUAAACUACAUAAUUAAAUUUUAAAUUUAUCAGAAUUUAAAAAAUAUAUAAAAAAUAAUACAGGAUAUUGCAAUUUUUUUCUAAUAAAAUAUAAUUUAUGAAUUUAUAAAAUAUAAUUUUUAUUAUAAAUUUUUAGAUAAAUAUAAUGUAAAAUAACUAUUACGUGCAUUUAUAUGUACACUCAACGAUAUCUAUAUAUAUAGCUAGGGCUACUAUAUUUUUAUGAGUAUAGCCCCUCUGUACUCAUUAGUUUUCGGCCGUUGGAUGAAGGGAUGUGUGGUUAGUAUGACAGUAGUCUUCAGUUACGUUGAUAGUGGUCCACUAGGGUUGAGUGGGUGGUUGGUUGAAUAGUAUGAUUUAACACGUGAAAAUGGUCAAAAGGUAGAUCUAACGGCGGAAAACUUAUGAGUACAAGUAGGCCUAUAUACUCAUAAAAGUAUAGUAGCCGGACUAUAUAUAUAUAUAGCUGAGCUAGAAUACUAUCGAUAGCAAACGGGCUCCGUUGCCACCCAUUUGUUUUCGAUGAUGGAGUCUCCAAAUCGACGAUCGGCACUGUUGAACAUGAUCUAUACCACUGGAAGUGUUUAGAAAUCAAAUUUCAUAUAUUUUUGAUAUUGUUCUCUUAUUUAUCGAGUGGACACAAAAAUGAAAGGCUGAAAAUGAAUAUUCUUUAAAAAAUGAUGAUAGGAGUCUUGUAAUCAAUAUCAAGAGUAUAGAUCUUGUUUUAAAUAGUUUAAAGAAUUUUCUAACAAAAAUUUAAUUGAUUUGGAUAUCUUUACGCCGUUAAACGAGAAAACGCCUCAUAUCAACCAUUAAAAUUACAAAUUUCGAAACCCUUUGAUUAUUAGGCAAAUGAUGUGGAAAAGAUUUGAAAUUUGAUUUCUAAACACUUUAAGUGAUAUAGAUCAUGUUCAACGGUGCCGAUCGUCGAUUUGAAGGCUUUAUCAUCGAAAACAAAUGGUUGGCCAAUGGAGACCGUUUGCUAUCGAUAGUAUUCUAGCUCAACUCUAAUAGUACAGUAGCCCUACUAUAUAUAUAUAUAUAUAGGGUCCGGCUACUAUCCUAUUAAUAGGAUUGGGACCCUUGUCCUUUCAAGUCGAUUUGAAUGAUCCGAACUUCAAAUUAAUAAUCGGCACCGUUGAAGUUGAUCUACACAAUUAGAAAUGUUUAGAAACCAAAUUUUGUAUUAUUUAAAAAUCAUUAUCAAGUUCAUCUUAAGAGUUGAAAAAUGAACGGUCAUAAAUGAAUAACCUUCUUAAAAUAGAGGUUAGACUUUCUCAGUUCGUACUCAGAGUUAUCAAACAUUAUCUAAAUAGUAUAAAGAAUUUUUAAUCAAAAAUUCAAGCAAUUUGGAUUGCUCUACACCGUUAAACAAGCAAACGGCUCAUAUAGGCCGUCAAAAAUUGUCGAUUUUACGACACUUUGAUCACCAUGUAAACCAUUA
rnacentral:lncRNA from 1 species